rnacentral:rRNA from 1 species
GAUGAACGCUGGCGGCGUGCCUAAUACAUGCAAGUCGAACGAAGAUCUAGCUUGCUAGAUCUUAGUGGCGAACGGGUGAGUAAUACAUAAAUAAUCUGCCCAUAUGACUGGGAUAACUAUUGGAAACGAUAGCUAAUACCGGAUAGGUUAAUCGGAGGCAUCUCUGAUGAAUUAAAGUAGGAUUUCUACACAAAUGGAUGAGUUUAUGGCGCAUUAGUUAGUUGGUGGGGUAACGGCCUACCAAGACGAUGAUGCGUAGCCGACCUGAGAGGGGGACCGGCAACACUGGGACUGAGACACGGCCCAGACUCCUACGGGAGGCAGCAGGGGGGAAUCUUGCGAAAUGCGCGAAAGCGUGACGCAGCAACGCCGCGUGGGGGAAAAAGGCCUUCGGGUUGUAAACCCCUUUCAGGAGGGACGAAGGUGUGGGGGCGAAUAGCCUCCCGCACUGACGGUACCUCCAGAAGAAGCCCCGGCUAACUACGUGCCAGCAGCCGCCGUAACAC